rnacentral:rRNA from 1 species
CAGCAGCCGCGGUAAUACGAAGGGUGCAAGCGUUACUCGGAAUUACUGGGCGUAAAGCGUGCGUAGGUGGUGGUUUAAGUCCGUUGUGAAAGCCCUGGGCUCAACCUGGGAAUUGCAGUGGAUACUGGGUCACUAGAGUGUGGUAGAGGAUAGUGGAAUUUCCGGUGUAGCAGUGAAAUGCGUAGAGAUCGGAAGGAACAUCUGUGGCGAAGGCGACUAUCUGGGCCAACACUGACACUGAGGCACGAAAGCGUGGGGAGCAAACAGGAUUAGAUACCCCUGUAGUCCCUGUCUCUAUACA